rnacentral:rRNA from 1 species
CUCUAAGGCCAUACCACCCUGAACGUGCCCGAUCUCAUCUGAUCUCAGAAGCUAAGCAGGGUCGGGCCUGGUUAGUACUUGGAUGGGAUUCCUCCUGGGAAUACUGGGUGCCGUAGGCU